AACGAACGCUGGCGGCGUGCCUAACACAUGCAAGUCGAGCGAGAAAGGGGGAGCAAUCCCCUGAGUAGAGCGGCGAACGGGUGAGUAACGCGUGGGUAAUCUGCCCUCCAGCCUGGGAUAACACCUCGAAAGGGGUGCUAAUACCGGAUGACACCAGCCCGGCGCAUGCCGGGCUGAUCAAAGGCGGCCUCUGCUUGCAAGCUGUCACGGAGGAUGAGCCUGCGUCCGAUUAGCUAGUUGGCGGGGUAACGGCCCACCAAGGCGACGAUCGGUAGCCGGCCUGAGAGGGUGACCGGCCACACUGGGACUGAGACCCGGCCCAGACUCCUACGGGAGGCAGCAGUGGGGGAUAUUGCGCAAUGGGCGAAAGCCUGACGCAGCGACGCCGCGUGGGGGAUGACGGCCUUCGGGUUGUAAACCCCUGUCGGGUGGAACGAACAAACCCGGCGCGAACACCGCCGGGUCCUGACGGUACCACCGAAGGAAGCCCCGGCUAACUACGUGCCAGCAGCCGCCGUAA
rnacentral:rRNA from 1 species